UACAGAGGGGGCAAGCGUUAUUCGGAAUUAUUGGGCGUAAAGGGCGCGUAGGCGGCUUGGCAAGUGGAUGGUGAAAUCCCUCGGCUUAACCGAGGAACUGCCGUCCAAACUGCUUCGCUUGAGACCGGGAGAGGUGAGUGGAAUUCCCAGUGUAGCGGUGAAAUGCGUAGAUAUUGGGAGGAACACCAGUGGCGAAGGCGGCUCACUGGACCGGUACUGACGCUGAGGAGCGAAAGCAUGGGGAGCGAACAGG
rnacentral:rRNA from 1 species